GACGAACGCUGGCGCCGUGCUUAACACAUGCAAGUCGAACGAUGAACCGGGUGCUUGCACUCGGGGAUUAGUGGCGAACGGGUGAGUAACACGUGAGCAACCUGCCCCUGACUCUGGGAUAAGCGCUGGAAACGGCGUCUAAUACUGGAUAUGUCCCGUCACCGCAUGGUGUGCGGGUGGAAAGAUUUUUCGGUUGGGGAUGGGCUCGCGGCCUAUCUGCUUGUUGGUGAGGUAAUGGCUCACCAAGGCGUCGACGGGUAGCCGGCCUGAGAGGGUGAUCGGCCACACUGGGACUGAGACACGGCCCAGACUCCUACGGGAGGCAGCAGUGGGGAAUAUUGCACAAUGGGCGCAAGCCUGGUGCAGCAACGCCGCGUGAGGGAUGACGGCCUUCGGGUUGUAAACCUCUUUUAGUAGGGAAGAAGCGAAAGUGACGGUACCUGCAGAAAAAGCACCGGCUAACUACGUGCCAGCCGCCGCAGUAA
rnacentral:rRNA from 1 species